AAAAAUAAUAAACCUGGGUUUCCGUGUCCAACUUUUGAUCGUUCGUCUUAUUUAAAAAAAUUAUGAAAAAAAAAGAUAAGUCACGCAUAAAGUAUAAGUCAUAUUUUAUCAUUUUAACAACAAUAAAAAUACUAAUUAUAAAAAAAAUUUAUAUAAGACGGUCAAACGUUGGACACGUAAACCCAGGGUUUGUCUUUUU
rfam:Oryza sativa Japonica Group DNA, chromosome 5, cultivar: Nipponbare, complete sequence.